rnacentral:rRNA from 1 species
UACGGGGGGAGCAAGCGUUGUUCGGAUUUACUGGGCGUAAAGGGCGCGUAGGCGGCGUGACAAGUCACUUGUGAAAUCUCCGGGCUUAACCCGGAGCGGCCAAGUGAUACUGUCGUGCUAGAGUGCGGAAGGGGCUACUGGAAUUCUCGGUGUAGCGGUGAAAUGCGUAGAGAUCCGGAGGAAGACCGGUGGCGAAGGCGGCCUGCUGGGCAGUUACUGACACUGAGGCGCGACAGCGUGGGGAGCAAACAGG